UGCAUAUAUAUAUGAAAGUAUGCAUACAUACUUUCAUGUUUGACACAUCUCUUGGCAGCCAUUGUAAUCGAGGUAAUGGCAAGAAAGAGUCACAGCACUUUUUAAUUAGAAAAUCUGAACAAAACUUUAUCAAAAUAUCUAAUUUAUUUAAACUUUAAAUAAUGAAAUUUUUAAACAUAUAUCAAGUUUUACAGUUUAACUUUUACUUAAAAAUUGAAUUGCAUCUCUUUAAUUUUUAUCUGUAGCAUUUAUCCCUCGUUUUAUAAAGUCUUUUGCUUGUUGAAUAAUUUUAAAAUGCUCAUCAGACAACACUCCUGUGUGGCCGAGUGGUUAGCUUGCAGAGUUCCAGAAGCAAAACACAGUGAUACAACAUAUGAAACAAGCUUAUGGAGAAGACCAACAUUCUAAACUUUAGUUGAAAGCCUUAGAUAUGUCAAGUGCAAUAGCCCUAGCAUCUCUGUCUUCAUUUAAUGCACAAUCAAUUUAAAAAAUCGCAACAGUGGAGCAAGAGGAUAAAAAACAAUAUUGUCUGACAUCAAGUUAUUCGAUUCAAGAUGGAAUGUGAGAAAUUUAUUACAGACUCAAAGACCUUCCUUAUAACAAUAAGAAGACUGAUAAGAUGA